rnacentral:rRNA from 1 species
ACGAACGCUGGCGGCGUGCCUAAUACAUGCAAGUUGAGCGCUGAAGGUUGGUACUUGUACCAACUGGAUGAGCAGCGAACGGGUGAGUAACGCGUGGGGAAUCUGCCUUUGAGCGGGGGACAACAUUUGGAAACGAAUGCUAAUACCGCAUAAAAACUUUAAACACAAGUUUUAAGUUUGAAAGAUGCAAUUGCAUCACUCAAAGAUGAUCCCGCGUUGUAUUAGCUAGUUGGUGAGGUAAAGGCUCACCAAGGCGAUGAUACAUAGCCGACCUGAGAGGGUGGCCGGCCACAUUGAGACUGGGACACGGCCCAAACCCCUACGGGAGGCAGCAGUAGGGAAACUUCGGGAAUGGACGAAAGACUGACCAAGCAACGCCGCGUGAGUGGAGAAGGUUUUCGGAUCGUAAAACUCUGUUGGUAGAGAAGAACGUUGGUGAGAGUGGAAAGCUCAUCAAGUGACGGUAACUACCCAGAAAGGGACGGCUAACUACGUG